GAUGAACGCUGGCGGCGUGCCUAAUACAUGCAAGUCGAGCGAAUGGAUUAAGAGCUUGCUCUUAUGAAGUUAGCGGCGGACGGGUGAGUAACACGUGGGUAACCUGCCCAUAAGACUGGGAUAACUCCGGGAAACCGGGGCUAAUACCGGAUAACAUUUUGAACCGCAUGGUUCGAAAUUGAAAGGCGGCUUCGGCUGUCACUUAUGGAUGGACCCGCGUCGCAUUAGCUAGUUGGUGAGGUAACGGCUCACCAAGGCAACGAUGCGUAGCCGACCUGAGGGGGUGAUCGGCCAGACUGGGACUGAGACACGGCCCAGACGCCUACGGGAGGAAGCAGUAGGGAAUCUUCCGCAAUGGACGAAAGUCUGACGGAGCAACGCCGCGUGAGUGAUGAAGGCUUUCGGGUCGUAAAACUCUGUUGUUAGGGAAGAACAAGUGCUAGUUGAAUAAGCUGGCACCUUGACGGUACCUAACCAGAAAGCCACGGCUAACUACGUGCCAGCCGCCGCCGUAA
rnacentral:rRNA from 1 species